rnacentral:rRNA from 1 species
UUAAUUAAGUAUAGAAUUUAAUUUUUUAAUUAAAAAGUUAAAAUAAAUUAAAAAGACGAGAAGACCCUAUAGAGUUUUAUAAUUUAUUUAAUUAAGAUUAUUUAGAAAAAAAUUAAAUUAAAAUUAAAUUUAUUAUUUUGUUGGGGUGACAGAAAAAUAUAUUUAACUUUUUUUAAAAUAAAAACAUUUAUAAAUGAUUAUAUGAUCCAAUAUUAUUGAUUAUAAGAAAAAAUUACCUUAGGGAUAACAGCGUAAUUUUUUUUUUUAGUUCAAAUAAGAAAAAAAGUUUGCGACCUCGAUGUUGGAUUAAGAUAAAAUUUAAAUGCAGAAG